rnacentral:snoRNA from 1 species
GUGCUCGACGAUGAAGAGAUCAUUGGGUAUAUGCUCGCCGGCCUUGGGUCCGAGUAUGAGUCCCUCGUCACCUCCAUAACCACGCGCGUCGAACCUGUUUCUCUCAAUGAUUUUUACUCCUACUCGUUGAGC